AGCGAACGCUGGCGGCAGGCUUAACACAUGCAAGUCGAGCGGGCAUCCUUGUGGUGUCAGCGGCAGACGGGUGAGUAACGCGUGGGAACGUGCCCUUCGGUUCGGAAUAACUCAGGGAAACUUGAGCUAAUACCGGAUACGUGCGAGAGCAGAAAGGUUUAUCUGCCGAAGGAUCGGCCCGCGUCUGAUUAGCUAGUUGGUGAGGUUACGGCUCACCAAGGCGACGAUCAGUAGCUGGUCUGAGAGGAUGAUCAGCCACACUGGGACUGAGACACGGCCCAGACUCCUACGGGAGGCAGCAGUGGGGAAUAUUAGACAAUGGGGGCAACCCUGAUCCAGCCAUGCCGCGUGAGUGAUGACGGCCUUAGGGUUGUAAAGCUCUUUUCUCCGGGACGAUAAUGACGGUACCGGAGGAAUAAGCCCCGGCUAACUUCGUG
rnacentral:rRNA from 1 species